GCGCCGCGCCUGCCCCUCGCCAGCCGCCCCGAGGAGGCGCCGCGCCUGCCCUUUGCUAGUUACCCAGAGGAACCGAUGGUGCUGGGAACUGCCGAGGAUGCCGGCCAAACCCAGGAUUGACUACAAGUAUUGUCUUUGGUGAGCGAUCUGAGGUACAACAGACCUGAGCCCUUCUCUGAAGAAACUCACAGGACAAGACAAUGUGAAUAAUCAGAGCUAGAAGUGUAGAACCUUUUCGUCAAACAGUACAGGCCUGGAGAAAUCAAAUUGCUUCUCCUGUCGUGUUCACAGUCUGAACCAAGUGUUUGUAAGAGACACAACACUCUCAGAGCCUGCUCUCCUCUGUCUGUCAAUGGAAGCUUGACAUGUUGCUGUUGACUUACAGUGUCCAGCUUUUUGGUGAGGAUAAUGUGAUCACCUAGGAGCUGUGAGUUUCCUGGAGAGGAGCACCAAAUCCACAGAUCGGGAUUAGCAAUAAAUGCAUGGAAAAAAGGACUUUCCUGAAAAAAGCAUGUGAAUGCUCUUAAUAUGUGAAUAGCUAAUGAAGAUCCUCUUAGCAGUCUCUGCACAUUCUUCAGCUGCAGGCCCAGCUGUUUAUUUUCUUCAUGAAACUAAAACCAGAUCGAUCAACUCUUCCUCAAAGCCCUUUAUGAAACCUUGGCUUCCAGGCACAGGCCUGCUGCUAACAACAGACCUGAUGCAAAUUGAAUCUCUGGGAAACAGAGUAGACCCGUGGUGUCCAGCAAUAAGCCAAAGGGCCUCAUCCAGUAAGGUGCUGAGCAUCCUCGACUCCCACGGAAUGAGUUUGCUCCACAGCACUUGGCAGGAUCGUACCAAGUGCUUAGAUGUGGCAAGUAUCAAUAACUGUGAUGUGCAUAUAUACGUAACCCUUCUGCCAGGGGAGUCAGCAGCAACAAGGGUGGGUUGAAUAUCUAUGGGGGUUCCUCUUAACAAUACAAAACAGACCUGGUUCAAGCCCCCCGCCAGAAAUCUGGGAAAACUAACCAUCACCCCGAGGUGCCUCGAAGAGGCAAUACUCCCCCUCUCACAAGCACUGAGUCUGUAUAAUAAAGGGAAAGAGAACUCAGCAUUAAGUUGGAAAAGCACCACCACCACUUUCAAAAGCAUGUGACUAUACACAAAC